AUAGCCCUAUACUGGAUAAAUGGCUGAGGAAUUCGUCGAAGACGAAGGAUGGAAACACUGCCAGCCCUUCUAAGGGGAUAUCUAGGUUGCAUAAGCCAGAGGCAACUUCACCCACUGAGCAACUAUCAAAGGUUGCUGAUCCCAAGCUGUCGAGUGAAUGUUGCAGCAUGGAUAAGGCAGCUGUUGACAAUACAAAACUCUUAGCCAGACAUGCAUCAGCUAAAGCAGUUAAAGUUGCUAGGAAAUACAAGAAGAUAGUUUUCCGAAGAAAUCUGACGCUCCCUGCUGCUGAUGCAACUCAAGGAAUAAAAGGCGCCCCAACGGAACCUCCCAAUAAGGGAUCACAAGCCACAGAAGCAAUUGGAGUGAAAGAAAAAACCAAAAAAAUUGAAGCAACAAACUUAGGAGGUUAAGGUGUUGCCAAGAUGCAAAUUCAUCAAGGAAGGCUGAACC
rnacentral:lncRNA from 1 species